UGCAGUCGACGCACAGCGAAGGUGCUUGCACCUUUCAAGUGAGUGGCGAACGGGUGAGUAACACGUGGACAACCUGCCUCAAGGCUGGGGAUAACAUUUGGAAACAGAUGCUAAUACCGAAUAAAACUUAGUGUCGCAUGACACAAAGUUAAAAGGCGCUUCGGCGUCACCUAGAGAUGGAUCCGCGGUGCAUUAGUUAGUUGGUGGGGUAAAGGCCUACCAAGACAAUGAUGCAUAGCCGAGUUGAGAGACUGAUCGGCCACAUUGGGACUGAGACACGGCCCAAACUCCUACGGGAGGCUGCAGUAGGGAAUCUUCCACAAUGGGCGAAAGCCUGAUGGAGCAACGCCGCGUGUGUGAUGAAGGCUUUCGGGUCGUAAAGCACUGUUGUAUGGGAAGAACAGCUAGAAUAGGAAAUGAUUUUAGUUUGACGGUACCAUACCAGAAAGGGACGGCUAAAUACGUGCCAGCAGCCGCGGUAAUACGUAUGUCCCGAGCGUUAUCCGGAUUUAUUGGGCGUAAAGCGAGCGCAGACGGUUUAUUAAGUCUGAUGUGAAAGCCCGGAGCUCAACUCCGGAAUGGCAUUGGAAACUGGUUAACUUGAGUGCAGUAGAGGUAAGUGGAACUCCAUGUGUAGCGGUGGAAUGCGUAGAUAUAUGGAAGAACACCAGUGGCGAAAGCGGCUUACUGGACUGCAACUGACGUUGAGGCUCGAAAGUGUGGGUAGCAAACAGGAUUAGAUACCCUGGUAGUCCACACCGUAAACGAUGAACACUAGGUGUUAGGAGGUUUCCGCCUCUUAAUGCCCGAAGCUAACGCAUU
rnacentral:rRNA from 1 species